rnacentral:rRNA from 1 species
UACGUAGGGUGCAAGCGUUAAUCGGAAUUACUGGGCGUAAAGCGUGCGCAGGCGGUUUGGUAAGACAGAUGUGAAAUCCCCGGGCUUAACCUGGGAACUGCAUUGGUGACUGGCGGGCUAGAGUGUGGCAGAGGGGGGUAGAAUUCCACGUGUAGCAGUGAAAUGCGUAGAGAUGUGGAGGAAUACCGAUGGCGAAGGCAGCCCCCUGGGCUAACACUGACGCUCAUGCACGAAAGCGUGGGGAGCAAACAGG